GCCACCCAAGCCCGCUUAGGGAGCGGCAGCCCGGGCGGAGGCGGGCCGGGAGGUCCCGCCCGGCGCAGGGCGGUGCCGCCCGCCCAGACCUGCCCCCGCGGAGGGCGGCCCACGCUCGGAGGUUAAACAGACCCAGUUUCUCAACCUUUUCUCGUAAGAGAGUUGUUCCAGUCCCUUAAUCACCUUCAUAGCCCUUUACUGGGCUCUGUCCAGGAGCUCCAUGACGCUCUUGUACUGAGGAGCACAGAACUGUACACAGCAUUCCAGGAGGUCUUGCCAGGAGUUCUCUUCUACUCAGUCCCAGGCUAAGAAACCAUGAGGAUGCACUACCAGAGCUGUACAGGUAGCAGUGCACUUUGCAGAUGCUGCUGCAGGGAGAAGAAAAAGAUCUGGAGAAAACUAAUUGAAUUGCACAAACACAGGAGCCUAUAGGCAAUGUGAAGAAGACAUUACAUUCAGACUUCCUGCUGGUGUGAUUCAUGUGACUUGUGCAGAUAUAAUUCAUGUUAGUAGUCAACUGGAGACAUGACUGGAUAAAACUCAGCCAAAUGGUUGACUCAAUGUCAUCACAUUGUGUAUGCAUCAGUAUCCACUUAAGAUGUGUUUAAUUAAGUUGUAGAUCCAGUUAAAUAUCUGGAUCCUUUUUGUUUGAGUUGAAUGAGGAUUUCCCUUCCAGUCUGUCCUAGUCACAGACGAAAAAAAUAGUUUUCCACUUGUUAUUUCUUUAAUAACAUAGAGGAGUUUCAUAUUAGUCUUUAUCACUUAAUGAUGUAUAUACAUCUUGGGAAAUGUAUUCUGAUGCUGCUGUUUCUUUGAAGAAGAUUUGCCGUAGGUGGCAUGGGUGAUUUUCCAUAGCAUUUAAAAUUAAUUUUUUUUCCUAAUGUUGUCAGAAUAUAUAACUUGAUUCUGAAGCUCUGAUAUAGUUAUAUAAAAAACCCUGUACGGUUUCAUCAACUCCAGAAUAUAUUCACAUAGCUGAAAUAGGAGACAAUGGAAUGUAAAUGUCUUCUGAUAUUUAUUAUACUUAAUAAUAGGUGAAAUUAAAAUACAAUGGUGAAUGAUGAGCAUUCCAGAAUUAAAAGGCAAAUAAACUCAAGAAUACCUUCCAGAAAACCCAUUAAAUACUUCUAAGUCCCUAAAGAAUUUUCCAGAUACCAUAUUUUAAAUACUUUUAAAAAUGGAAUUUGGUAUAUUUUAUGGCUUUUUGGGAGUAUUUGCAGUGUCUUUCUGAGACUCUGGUUUGACUAAUUGACUAAUACCGAAUUUAUGGAAUUCAGUAAAACUUUAUCAUCUGCUUAAUUUAGCUGCCUAAUUUUAGAGAAGGGUACCAUAAAAUACAAAUGAAAGAGUUCUGCUUUCCUGGAGUUACUUCCUUUACUGUAUCUACCUACUUCUCAAGAAUACUAGGAAAGGUCUAUUGUAUUCAGCAUAUUGCCAAAUUCAAAGUAGAAAAAACACAAUCCUAUGGUAAUUCCUAAUGGAAACUUAUCACAGCAUAAUGGUGAACUACUGUAGAAGUGCACAGGCCUCUUAAAGCUUGCCAGGAACAUCCAUCAUCAUGGACAUCCACUUUUUAUAAAAGUGAGGGCUUACAUACAUUGGGUAAUCUGAACUUUCUGAAUCCUAAGGAGAGAAGGACUGUUUUGCAAGCAGCUAAAUUUAUGUAGACAUUUAAGGGCUCAAAUUCUGAGAAUGUAGUGAUAGUAAAUACAAAGUAGAGAGUGUUAAUAAUGUGUUCACUGUGAGAAGAGUAGCUGAAGUAACCUGUACUACGAUGUUCUGAUGGCCACAGUUAGUCCUCAUUUUUAAGUAAAUAAUCAUCAAAUUAUGUCUGUGUUGAUCAAAACUGUACCAAAAAUUUUCAGAAUUUGUUCUAUGCGUUGCAGAGUCAAUACAUCAUCCAAAGUCCUUUCCUUUGGAUUCUACAGUAGAUAUUUGGGGUUUCAUGAGAACUUAGUUCAUACUAGCUCUCAGGAUGCAACAAGAUUUGCCAGUACUGAGAAGAAAAUCACCAGUUUGAUAAAUCUGUCAAACUUUUAGACACCUGAGAUCAGUAAAUCGAACUAAAGUUGUUAAACAUUUUAAAAAUUGCAUUAAGUAUUUGUAUGUAAUACCUCAUCCCAUUUUUUUCAUGCUGAAGUGCAGACCCUUAAGGUACGAUGCUCUUGAAAUAAAAAAUGAGCACUGUAAAUAACUCUUCUUAUUUUCUCAGUUUGUGGUACAAGAAAACCAGGUAACAGUGAAUAGGAGUAACUUGACGUUGCUGCUUCUAAGUGAUACAGGUGUGUUAUCAGCUUAAUUGCAAAGCUGAAGGAAUGACAGAAUUAUCUGAGACUAGCUAGAAGCAAAAAAAGAAUGCAGUACUUCGUACCAUACUAUAAUCUGAACAUGUCCUAGCUCACUAAUUUCUGUACAGGGAAGUUUAAGAAAACAUUUAUCUAAAAGUUAAAUACACAUAACUCUAAACACAAAAGUUAUUAUUAACUGAUUUAAAUUUUUCUAGCAACAACAAAGGAAAUUCUAUAACCUGCUUAUGCAAUGGCUGGUUGACUCAGUUUCAAAAAAUUAACAUAGGUAAGAAGUGGAAGAUUAGUUAGUUUUUUUAUUCCUUAGUUAUUUUUCUUCCUUAGUUCCUAACUUACUAGUUAGUUUUGGUUAUUCCUUAGGUUUUGAAAACAUCUUCAUUUUAUGAACUGUACUUUAUCAGUGUAAUCUAAAGUAAAUCUUUCAAUAUCAACUCCAGGUUUGCACAAUAGUCUUACCAAAUUUAAUUGUGUAUAAGAAAUCAAAGUAUGUUUUACCAUAUAAAAAUUUCUCCAUGUGAUGUGAACAAAAUCAGUGCACUAACAUAAAUACUUCAGAAAAGUGCUCAACAAAUCAAAAUCUGUCUGAAAUGCUGGGUGAGAAUAAAAGUUGCUUCUCCAGGAUUGUUACUUGGAAAGAUUCUGGCCUCCCCUGGAAGUACUGGUUUUGCAAAGAUUUCUUAUUUUAUCGUCUUAUCUUGUAUUUGUCUCUAAAGACCCAGGAUGUAAAAGUUAUGUACUCCACAUUUCAACAUUACUUACAAUAGCAACAGUAUGCAUUGAUGUAGAACCAUCACUUUGAAAGCACUCAAAGCAUUAAUAAGAUGUAGCCAUCCACUGACUUUGGGAAGUGGCAGGGAGAAUAUGUAUCUUAAAAUGGUGCUUCUACUAGUAAGUAAUAAGAUUAGGAUUUCUGAGCAGUUAUUAAUAAAGGCUU